CGCUUUUUUCGCUUAGGCGGAGCUCGACUGCCUAUACAAAUAAUGGUGGAUUUCAUCCAUAACAAUAAAGCGUUAUACGGUGUUGAUAUGAUUUGUAGGAUCUUACCGAUCGCAGCU
rfam:Acinetobacter sp. TTH0-4, complete genome.